UACGUAGGUGGCAAGCGUUAUCCGGAUUUAUUGGGUGUAAAGGGCGUGUAGGCGGGAGCGCAAGUCAGAUGUGAAAACUCAGGGCUCAACCCUGAGCCUGCAUUUGAAACUGUGUUUCUUGAGUGCUGGAGAGGCAAUCGGAAUUCCGUGUGUAGCGGUGAAAUGCGUAGAUAUACGGAAGAACACCAGUGGCGAAGGCGGAUUGCUGGACAGUAACUGACGCUGAGGCGCGAAAGCGUGGGGAGCAAACAGG
rnacentral:rRNA from 1 species